CCUGGCUCGAGGACGACGCUGGCGGCGUGCCUAACACAUGCAAGUCGAACGGAGCACUUCGGUGCUUAGUGGCGAACGGGUGAGUAACGCGUGAAGAACCUGCCUUUCAGUGGGGGACAACAGUUGGAAACGACUGCUAAUACCGCAUAAUGUUAUUUGGGGGCAUCCUUGAAUAACCAAAGAUUUAUUGCUGAAAGAUGGCUUCGCGUCUGAUUAGCUAGAUGGCGGGGUAACGGCCCACCAUGGUGACGACCAGUAGCCGGUCUGAGAGGAUGAACGGCCACAUUGGGACUGAGAUACGGUCCAGACUCCUACGGGAGGCAGCAGUGGGGAAUAUUGGGCAAUGGGCGAAAGCCUGACCCAGCGACGCCGCGUGAGGGAAGAAGGUCUUCGGAUUGUAAACCUUUGUUGACAGGGAAGAAGAAAGUGACGGUACCUGUAAAGAAAGCCACGGCUAACUACGUG
rnacentral:rRNA from 1 species